UACCGCAUGCGCCGUUCGGGGAAAGCCGGGGACCUUCGGGCCUGGCGCGAUUGGAUGAGCCCACGUCGGAUUAGCUAGUUGGCGGGGUAAAGGCCCACCAAGGCGACGAUCCGUAGCUGGUCUGAGAGGAAGAUCAGCCACACUGGAACUGAGACACGGUCCAGACUCCUACGGGAGGCAGCAGUAGGGAAUAUUGGACAAUGGGCGCAAGCCUGAUCCAGCCAUGCCGCGUGAGUGAAGAAGGCCCUCGGGUUGUAAAGCUCUUUUGUCCGGAAAGAAAAGCGCCGGGUUAAUACCCUGGUGUCCUGACGGUACCGGAAGAAUAAGCACCGGCUAACUUCGUG
rnacentral:rRNA from 1 species